rnacentral:rRNA from 1 species
GAUGAACGCUGGCGGCGUGCCUAAUACAUGCAAGUCGAGCGAAUGGAUUAAGAGCUUGCUCUUAUGAAGUUAGCGGCGGACGGGUGAGUAACACGUGGGUAACCUGCCCAUAAGACUGGGAUAACUCCGGGAAACCGGGGCUAAUACCGGAUAACAUUUUGAACCGCAUGGUUCGAAAUUAAAAGGCGGCUUCGGCUGUCACUUAUGGAUGGACCCGCGUCGCAUUAGCUAGUUGGUGAGGUAACGGCUCACCAAGGCAACGAUGCGUAGCCGACAGGAGGGGUUGAUCGGCCACACUGGGACUGAGACACGGCCCAGACUACUACGGGAGGCAGCAGUAGGGAAUCUUCCGCAAUGGACGAAAGUCUGACGGAGCAACGCCGCGUGAGUGAUGAAGGCUUUCGGGUCGCAAAACUCUGUUGUUAGGGAAGAACAAGUGCUAGUUGAAUAAGCUGGCACCUUGACGGUACCUAACCAGAAAGCCACGGCUAACUACGUGCCAGCAGCCGCGGUAA